rnacentral:lncRNA from 1 species
UAAUGUAAUGUUUUCAAUAAAACUCUUAUAAACCAGUAUGCUUUUUUUUAAAACUCUUCAAAUCUGCAUCUUUUCCUAAACAGUUCUUUUAAACAUUCUUCCUAAACGUUUUACUCAGUCCCUGGAAUUGUCUUUUAAAACACAGUCAUGUAACUCGCUCUUUUUUUAAGACAUUCCUGCCUCUAAAAAUCUUUCGUAACUUUUCUGCAUUUUUUUCCUACUCAAACAGUCUGCUGAUUUCAAAUCCAUUUACAAUUUACUGCAGUCUUUACUUUCUUUUAAACUCUUUCACAUUAAGACCUCAAUAACUAAUAAUCAGACCCGAGGGGCUUGAUGCAGACUUUUAUCCAACUUUAUGAGUUAAAUGGAUUCGUCCGCCUCUUAAUUCUUUAACUUUAAAGACCAAAUCAGUACGUGCAAGUCAUGCUGCAUUAAGACCUUAAUAACUAACAAUCAGACCCAAGGGGCUUGAUGCAGACUUUUGUCCAACUUUAUGAGUUAAACUGAUCCGUCUGUUGCUUAACUUUAAUUAAAGACCAAACCAGUAUAUGCAAGUCAUGCUAAACUUUGUUGUGUGAUCUACAAGGUUUGUAUAGCCUUUGAGUGUUUGCUUCAUACCCCACUUAUUUGUUAUUUAUUUUGAUUGACGCCCUAGUAUUUUAUCCUUUUAAACUCCAUAUAUGCCUUUAUCUUGUUUCUUCCCUUUUAGGAUUACAAGUCAAAAUACCUCGGAACUGAUAGGUCGGGACGGGUAUUAGCAUGCAAUAUGUAAACGAGACUAAACACGUUUAAAUACCUUAAGGGGGUGGGAAGGGUAGAAUAUGGAGAUGAUGAUGGUGCGCUAAUAUAUCGUGUGAGAAUGAUUGCUGCGUAUUGCACCGAAUGAUCCAUAUUAUAGUUAAACCUAGGAACAUUUUCUUUGCUUUUUCCUUUAUUUAAAUUAAUGUUUUCUUCAAACUAAGUUCUAUUUUCACUUGCGUCUUUCUUCUUUCAAAAUUUUCAACUUGUUUAUAUUUCUUAUGUGCAAACUUUUCUUGUCUAUUACUACUCUUCUUCAAGUCACAAUUAAGCAAGGUCGAGAACCACACUAGUGGAUCUUGAGGGGCGCCUAACACCAUCCCCUCGAGAUAAUCUCAAGCCUUACCCGAACUCUGGUUUUCUUUCAAAUACUUCUUCUUUUCUCAAAAAGUGUCCUAAUGCAAUAUAAUCAUUAGGUGGAGACUCUCCAAAUCCAUAGCCCAAAUUCCCCCAAAAUGGGGAUAAAAGAGUCGUUCCACCCAUAAUGUCGUAAACCCGAU